GCCAAGUGUGGUGGUGCACGCCUGUAAUUCCAACUACUUGGGAGGCUGAAGCAGGAGGAUCACAAGUUCAAGGCUGGCUUGAGCAACUUAGUGAGACCCUGUCUCAA
rnacentral:sRNA from 1 species